ACUCCUACGGGAGGCAGCAGUGGGGAAUAUUGCACAAUGGGCGCAAGCCUGAUGCAGCCAUGCCGCGUGUGUGAAGAAGGCCUUCGGGUUGUAAAGCACUUUCAGUCGUGGAGGAGUAGUGUAGUUAAUAGCUGCAUUAUUUGACGUUAGACGACAGAAGGAAGACACCGGCUAACUCCGUGCCAGCAGCCGCGGUAAUACGGAGGGUGCGAGCGUUAAUCGGAAUUACUGGGCGUAAAGCGCAUGCAGGUGGUUUGUUAAGUCAGAUGUGAAAGCCCGGGGCUCAACCUCGGAAUUGCAUUUGAAACUGGCAGACUAGAGUACUGUAGAGGGGGGUAGAAUUUCAGGUGUAGCGGUGAAAUGCGUAGAGAUCUGAAGGAAUACCGGUGGCGAAGGCGGCCCCCCUGGACAGAUACUGACACUCAGAUGCG
rnacentral:rRNA from 1 species